rnacentral:lncRNA from 1 species
AGCAAUGUACUUAGCCACAGUGUCGACCAAGACGGGCAAGAGAGAGGUUCAAAGGGGUCUGAAAAGAUAUGGAAGUGCUGGAGGAUGUGGGUCGUGAUCCCGAGGCAAAGGUCAUCGAAGAAUUGGGGUGUGCUAUGAAUUGGAUGAGCCGAGUUCCAGAUCGAUUCUUUUCGUCGGGUCGACCUGAAUGAAUGCGAGAGAACCGAACUUAUCCAACUCGUAAAGCUAACAUCGAGGCAUUCGCAUGGACCCCCCACACAAAAUGCGAGAAUUGACCCCAAACUAAUCAAGCAAGAGCUGAACGUUCAAUCGGAUUUCGACCGGUCAAACCAAUAGGGGGAGGAGGUCGCGCCUGAGCACAUGGAUGCGGUGAUAGAAGAAGUGAAGAAACGCAAGGAAGCGAUGCAAUAAUCGAAGUCUUUACCCCAGUUGGCUGCGAACACGUGGUGGUGAAAAGAAAACGCCACAAAGUGGAGGGUUUGUGUGAUUUCACUAAUCUCAACCGGGCUUGUCCUAAAGACAUUCCAUUACCAAAGAUAGAACAGUGCGUUGACAGAACUUCGGGUCAUGCCCGUAUGAGUUUUCUUGACGCGUAUAGAGGGUAUCAUCAAAUCACUCUACAUGGACCGGAUCAGGAAAAGACUGCAUUUAUUACCCCCAAGGGAGUGUUCUGCUACAAAGUCAUGCCAUUUGGGCUCAAAAAUGCCGGGGCCACAUACCAGAGAAUGGUUACGAAAAUGUUCAAGCCUGUAUUGGGCAGGACCAUGGACGCCUACAUCGACGACAUGGGGGUAAAAAGUAGAGAAGAAUCUGAUCAUCUCUGGGACUUGUUCGAGAUUUUCACGAUCCUCCGACAACAUAAGCUCAGACUUAAUGCAGCGAAGUGUGCCUUUGGCGUAGGCUCGGGAAAGUUCCUCGGGCAUCUAGUCACAAGACAAGGGAUCGAGGCUAAUCCAGAGCAGAUUGCCGCCAUAGACCAGCUAACCAGCCCGAGGAAUGCCAAAGAGGUACAAAAACUCACAGGGAUGGCGGCAGCUUUCAACCGUUUCAUCAGUAAGUCUUUUGACAAAUGUCGCCCAUUUUUUUAAGCUCUUACGCAAAAACACCAAAUUUCUGUGGGAUGAGGAAUCCGAAUUGGCACUCCAACAAUUCAAAAAUAUUUGAUCGAGCCUCCACUCCUUUCCACACAGGACGAAGGAGAGCUGCUCUAUAUUUAUCUUGCGGUAUCUAAACACGACGUGAGCUCGGUCUUGCUAAGGGAGGUGGCCAAUGAGCAGCGCCCUAUCUAUUUUGUGAGCAAAACAUUAACGGAUUACUAGACACGAUACUUACCGCUAGAAAAGCUCAUUUUGGCCCUAAUAGUGACCUCACGCAAACUCAUGCACUACUUUCAAGCGCACCCCAUUUCGGUUUACACUGAAUAACCGCUCAAAGACGUCUUACUGAAAGCAGACCUGUCGGGCUGACUCUCUAAAUAGUCCUUAGAGCUUAGACAGUUUGACAUAAAGUUCUUGCCAAGGGUGGCAAUCAAAGGGCAUGUACUGGCGGACUUCGUGGCAAAGUUUUUUCCCAAGAUGGGAAUUUCAGAGCAGAGUCAAUUGAAAUCUCCGCGAAGAAGGAAAAACUCACAAGAUGCACCGUCCGAGCUCCAACCUACGAAUGGGAAUACCGAGGUCAAUCUAGGGCCGCCCAAAGAAAAUGGCCCCGUCGAACCAAGAAGUUUACCUGAGGGAGCAGAGGUUAUAAUAGAACCACCUCAGGUAGAUCUUUCUUUGGCUUGGCAAAUGCACAUCGACAUAGCCAGAAACAGCCAAGGGGCAGGCGCAGGAGUGAUUUUGAAGAGUCCGGAAGGAGCGAUUUUCGAACAAUGCCUCCGAUUUAAUUUCCCAGCAACGAACAACGAAGCUGAAUAUGAAGUUCUGAUCGCAGGACUGAGGUCUGCCAACAAAUUAGGAGUGCCGGAGCUCUACAUAUAUAGCGACUCCAAAUUGGUCGUAAAUUAGGUGAUGGGCAAAUUCAAAGCUCGGGGAAUCAAAAUGGCAAAAUACUUGAAGGUGGUGAAAAGCCUUAUCAAUGAAUUCAGAGCGGUCGAAAUCGAACAAGUCGGGAGAGAAUUGAAUGCACAUGCGGAUGCGCUUGCAUAUCUAGCUUUCGUCUUUGAAGGAGAGAUCGGCAGAACAAUCGCAGUCGACGUUGUCUCUGUCCCAAGUAUAGAGGAAACGCAAAUAUCCAUUUUGGUCAACACAAAACUUGGGCCGAGUUGGAUGGAUCCUAUCGUGAAUUACCUGUGGACUGACAAGCUGCCGGACGACAGAAAAGAGGCCCAUAAAAUCAGGAUCAAGGCUUCAAGGUUCUGGAUAUCCCCCUCAGGGGACUUAUACAAAAAAUAUUACAAGGGCCCUAUGCUGUGUGUACAACCGAGCCGUCGUCGAGGACGUGCUUUACGAGAUCCAUGAGGGAAUGUGUGGAUUGCAUUCUGGGGGAAAAAUCAUUGCUCACCGAAGCUCUUUCACAGGGGUGCUGGUGGCAAUAACAUGCAGAAGGAUGCCCAGGUAUAUGAGCGAAAGUGCAACAAAUGUCAGCUCUUUUUUUGCCCUGAUCAAUAACCUGCGGGGGAUUUACUCCACUCAUGUAGUCCAUGGCCCUUCGCCCCAAUAGGGAAUGGAUAUCGUGGGCGUCCUACCCAAAGCUCCAGGCAAUAAAAGGUUCUUACUAGCAGCAAUUGAUUACUUCACUAGGUGGGUAGAAGCCGAGCCGCUAGCCCAAAUCAGGGAGACAGACGUCUUAUCCAGAUUCGGCAUCCCACGGGCCUUCAUGUCAGAUAAUGGUACCCUAUUUGUAGGAAGCAAAGUCAAAAAGUUGUUGGAGCAGCUGAAGAUUGAAUUCUACAAUUCAACACCGAGCUACCCGCAAGGCAAUGGCCAAGUCGAGGCCACUAACAAGACUAUCAUGAACGGGAUUAAGAAAAGACUCGAGAAGGCCAAAGGAAAAUGGGUCGACGAGUUGGCAAACGUGUUGUGGGCUUAUCGGACCACACCGCGGGAAAGCGACGAACGAAACGCAUUAUCUUUGGCUUUUGGAUUCGAAGCCGUAUCCCGCUGGAGGUCGAUGUUGCCCAGAUAAUCAACCCUAGGGGAGGGGUCAUAGGGUUGUUGACAAAACUUUUCUUUUAAUAAAAAAAUUAUUACUGAAUUAAGAGUUUAGAAAAAUAAUUUAAGGAAAGCAGUAUAAUGUAAAAGAAUAUAAAUGAGCACAAUAAUAAAGAGAUAGGAGAGAGGAUUCAAUUUCGGCGAUUAUCGUGGUUCGGUCUACCUGACCUACGUCCACUCCCAAGCACACCACUUGAGAUUUUAAUCUACUAAUUCCAAACUCCUUACAAGUGGAGUUCAAAACCUUUACAGUCAAGGAGCACACCACUCUUCUUCCACAAGGUGGAAAAUCCCAUUCCACACCCACAAAGGUCACACCAACCCUCAUGAUACAAUCAAGUUGAUCGAAUUUGAGAUCUCUCACAAUAAUAAUUCUCCUUUGAGAAGGAUAUACAAAGGAAUCUUUUACAUGAUAUCUCUCACUAGAACUCUUGUACAAUUAAACUUGAAGGCUCAAAGGAAUGUAGUGAAGUAUGCUCUGAGUUCUAAGCUUGUUUUCUCACUGAUUGUUUAUGAAAUGAAAGCUAAGGAUAUGUAAUUUUAUAGUCUUAGCAAGAAUAUCAAACGUUUUGAGAGAAUUUAAAAUUUGCUAGCCAAUUUCAAAUUUGAAAUCACAUUUUCAAAGUCAGGAAAUUGUUGCUAUCAAAGUUUUUAAAAGUUGAAACUACAUUUUCAAAGUCAGAAAAUUGUUCUACCAAUUUUUCAAAGUUGACAACCAUAUUCAAAGUCAAAAAUUGUUGCUAUCAAAAUUUUAAAGUUAGAAAUUGUUGCUAACUAAUUUUUCAAACUUCGAAUCAAAUUUUCAAAGUCAGAAUGGUGAUGCAUAUUUUUUAAAUUGGAAUCAAUUUUUAAAGUCAGAAAUUGUUGCUAGCCAAUUUUUAAACUUGAAAUCAAAUUUUCAAAAUCAAAAAUUAUAUUAGCCCAUUUUUAAAAUUAUAAUAAAUUUUCACAGAUACGAAUUAUUGACAGACAUUUUUAAGAAUUUAUAUUUUAAUUGCAUUUUUGUAUUUUUAAAAUGCAUUGAAAAGAUUAAGGUCAUUUAAGAGGCUCAAGAAUUUAACCAUACAAGAGACUUUACAAAAAUAUCCUAACAAAAGUUUCUCAUUCUUGAGCUCUUCAGGCUUGAAGGCUUCUUAUUUUGCAGUCCAAAUAUUCGUCAAUUAUUUUUAUCCUGAGAAUGUUGUGCUUGAAUGUUUCUUGCAACUACCAUACUUAAUUAAAUUAAUUAGAGAAAUAAGAUUAGAAUUUGUGUCAUCAAAAUAUUUGCAACAUAAUCGGAGUGACGCCAUGGGCUAACAAUUCCAUCUUUUGCUGAUGACAAAUUUGAUAGAAAAUUUAAACACAUUGUAGUAAUAACUAAUUUUUUUUUUUUUUUGUAAAAAAACUGAUCAAACCAAUGUGUCAAAUAAUGAGAAUAAUGCAUUUUUAUUAUACAGUCAUUAUAUGGAAAAUAAUUAAAAUUUUUGUAUAUCCUUAUUUUUUUCCUUUUUGACAUUAACAAAAAGUAUAAUGUAUAAGCUCCCCCUGCGAAGAUGCUUUCCCUUUGAGGGGGGGAAAUGAAGUAUAUCUAAACGAUACAUAUGAUCGAAAACUUGGCUAAAUGAACCUUGAAUCCAGGAAGGUGAGGACAGCAAUCAGGAAAUAUAUGAGUUAGACCCUAUAUCAGUUGUGCUUUCUCUAUUCUGUCACAGAUUAUAUCAUGGGGAAAAAUCCAUGAAUGACAGAAGAGAAAGAUACUUCAUCUUAGAAUAGAAUCCAAUAAUAAUCUUGCUUCUAGAUGACCUGAAAUCAAGAAGAGUCUUGCUUCUGUUGUUGUGAAUCAAGUUGUGAUGUUGCAAAUCUUUCUGUCCU